rnacentral:rRNA from 1 species
AAUAUUAACAAAAUUUGUGCCAGCAGUUGCGGUUAUACAAAUAAUAUAAUUUAAUUUUAUUAAUAUUAAUUAAUUUGAUUUAUUAAUUUUAUUAAAAAAUUUAUUAAGUGAAAUUUUAAAUUUUAAAAUAAUUAACUAUUUUAAAUGAAGUUAACAAAAUUUUAAUUUAAACUAGGAUUAGAUACCCUAUUAU